rnacentral:rRNA from 1 species
AGUGAACGCUGGCGGUAGGCCUAACACAUGCAAGUCGAACGGCAGCACAGUAAGAGCUUGCUCUUACGGGUGGCGAGUGGCGGACGGGUGAGGAAUACAUCGGAAUCUACUUUUUCGUGGGGGAUAACGUAGGGAAACUUACGCUAAUACCGCAUACGACCUACGGGUGAAAGCAGGGGAUCUUCGGACCUUUCGCGAUUGAAUGAGCCGAUGUCGGAUUAGCUAGUUGGCGGGGUAAAGGCCCACCAAGGCGACGAUCCGUAGCUGGUCUGAGAGGAUGAUCAGCCACACUGGAACUGAGACACGGUCCAGACUCCUACGGGAGGCAGCAGUGGGGAAUAUUGGACAAUGGGCGCAAGCCUGAUCCAGCAAUACCGCGUGGGUGAAGAAGGCCUUCGGGUUGUAAAGCCCUUUUGUUGGGAAAGAAAAGCAGCAGGUUAAUACCCCGAUGUUCUGACGGUACCCAAAGAAUAAGCACCGGCUAACUUCGUG